UACAGAGGUCUCAAGCGUUGUUCGGAAUUACUGGGCGUAAAGGGUGCGCAGGCCGCGCGGGCAGUCAAAUGCGUAAUUCAGGGGCUCAACCCCUGCACUGCGCUUGAUACUUCCGCGCUCGAGCUUUGGAAAGGAGUCUGGAAUUCUCGGUGUAGCAGUGAAAUGCGUGGAUAUCGAGAAGAACACUUAGGGCGAAGGCAAGACUCUGGACAAAUGCUGACGCUCAUGCACGAAGGCUAGGGUAGCGAACGGG
rnacentral:rRNA from 1 species